CCUACCAGUGAGGAGGAGGCUGGGGGUGCUCAAGAAGUUAGGAGGUGACACAGCCAGGACAGCUGACCCCAACAGAUCCAAGCGAUAUUCUACAGCACACUGGCACCAUGUUCAGCCUAUAAAGCUGAAGGAAGAGGGGUAUUUGGAGUGAGUGAUUGUGUUUGUCUUUCUAAGUCACUGUUAUGCAUGCUGGACACCUGCUUUCCUGGGGAUGGCUGAACACCUUCCCGCCCAUGGGAAGUGGGAUGAAGAGACUACUUCCACAGUACACAAAAAUAUCUCUGGCAACAAUAGUAGCAGUCACUACUUUGCUCAUCUGCAAGAUAAAAUGUUCUUCUGUAAAAUACCAGGUAUUUACUGGAAGCUGUCGCCCCAAUGACUGCUUUGAACAUGAGACAUCUGCACUUCUGCUAAUAGCUCUGCCCUGCUGCAGUUCCCUUGCAUAUGGCUUUUCCUAUGAGGAAUUAUUGUCAGAAAGAAAUCUGGCCUCAUUGUCUCAGGUAGAUUGCAUUUGCCUGGUCAGUUUUCAUUGCCAUCUUUCAAUCUGAAUUUUUUUACCUGUUAUCUCAUGUUCUGUUGUAUUCAAAAGAUUCUAAUAGCUGUUGCAGGAAAGCCACAACAGAAUACUAGAUAAUCACUCAUUACAUUUUAUUAAACAUGUCUAAAUUACUACAAAAUAUUUCUCCACUAUGCUCCCUACUUGGAUUCUAAUACUGUGAGGAUUUACUUAUGUGCUACUUUAUGCCUGGUGGUUUGAAGUUUCUCACCAAAAAGAAAAAAAAAAAUUAAAUCAAGCCUAUCUUAAGUAUUUCCAGAAGGGCACCAAGAAACAGAGGAACUUUAAAUCAUUAUUAUUCGUCUUUUUUUUCCUCUUCUUUAACAUCAAAAGACCUGAUUCUUAGGGAUCAGUUAAGUACUUGCUUAACUCCAUUUAA